rnacentral:rRNA from 1 species
UACGUAGGGGGCAAGCGUUGUCCGGAAUCAUUGGGCGUAAAGAGCGUGUAGGCGGUCCGGUAAGUCGGCUGUGAAAGUCCAAGGCUCAACCUUGGGAUGCCGGUCGAUACUGCCGGACUAGAGUUCGGAAGAGGCGAGUGGAAUUCCCGGUGUAGCGGUGAAAUGCGCAGAUAUCGGGAGGAACACCUGUGGCGAAAGCGGCGCACUGGACCAUAACUGACGCUGAGGCGCGAAAGCUAGGGGAGCAAACAGG